rnacentral:miRNA from 1 species
UGGGACUUUGGGUAGAAUUAGGCG